ACUCGCUGCUGAGAGAUCUUGCUCAUGUACAGAUUAAGUCACAAGUUGAUAAACCACCAGGGUCCACCAGGAUUUCCAAUCGGCUCCCCUUGGGAUAGUUUAACGCCGAUUUGGUGUAGCAUGUGAUAGGCUGCUCCCAGUAGGUGUUUUCCAAGAGGAAUGGAGGCCCCUGUCGAUAACGCCUCGGCUAGAGCCUGCGUGUUGGUGGAUAGACCGGCUGCCCUCC
rnacentral:lncRNA from 1 species